UGAUGAUAAUGUUGAUGAUGACAAUGAUGAUGAUGAUAAUGAUGAUUUCUCACAUUUAGUGCUAUCAUCAUCAUCAUCAUCAUUAUCAUCAUCAUAUUUU
rnacentral:pre_miRNA from 1 species